rnacentral:tRNA from 1 species
UAGGCGGUUAGCUCAGUUGGUUAGAGCACUUGGUCGACAUCCAAGGGGUCAGCAGUUCGAAUCUGCUACUGCCUACCAU